CCUUUGACCAACCAUUAACUUUUGAACAUUAGCUAUUUGACCAAACAUUCCUUUGUCCAGACAUUAACUUACGCAAAUUGUGUAUUGCAGAACUUUGUGAAAUCAGGACUAAUGUUACUAGAUUAUUGUCUGGGUGGCUUUACUAGACAACAAGUGCAAGAUAAUAAAAGCAAGACGAGAACUGAUUUGAAAGGUCAGAUUUGCAUUGCAGGAAACUGAUUCAGUGCAUAUUUUUAAAGUUAGAAAUGUAAUUUAAAAUUCCCAAACAAAAGUAUUGUGCAAAAUUGAACUUGUGUUUUUCAUCAUUCUAUCUCCAUGCUCAGUACAGAGAAGAGGGAUCAGUCUAGCCUGAUGUUUAUAAACUGCAUUGAGACUUCAGGAUGCCAGGAAUUCUGCUCUCAAACUCCUUUCUUGAGUAUUUACAACAUAAUCAUAUUUUGCAACUGCUAAGRGAUGAUUUUGGAGAAUUUUCUCUAAACCAAGGAAGAACAGCAUAAGAGCAUGACACUACUGGAUCUGCCAGCCGGCCUUUACAGAGUCUGCUUCACCCUUGCCGAAGCUCUGUAGUAUCCAAUGGUUUUGAUGACAGGAAUAGAGGUGAUACCUGAAGACACUCCUCAUCUCACUGCAGGUAAGGGCGCAGAGA
rnacentral:lncRNA from 1 species